rnacentral:lncRNA from 1 species
CAGACACUUCAGCUUCCUAAUCAGCCUGCUCUUAUGAGCAUAAAUGAGAGUUAACGCAUCUAAAACUGAACACAAACACCUGGGGGAGGAACUGUGAAGGACCCCCAGCACCACCACCACCCUCACCACCCCUGUUGUCCUGCAUAUCCACAGCCGCCAUGGUUGCCUUGGCCAGCAGAAGCCCAAGACUGAUGCCCUGGGAAGUUGACCUACAUGGACUACAUCAAUGGGCUCCCCUGUCAUCUGGCUUCUCAGUACAUUCAGUCAACGAUGACAGGAGAUGAGAGAAUGGGAAGAGAGUGGGGUCAAGGUACCAAUUCCCCUGCUCCCUGUCAUGGAGUCACCAUGAGUUGGUGGCAUCCUCCACUGAAGGCCACAGUUCCUGUCAGCAGCCUCACAAAGCUCUCCUGUCUCUUAGAAGUGGUAAUGUUUCCCCUCCGUGCUGUUUCCAGGCCUGCAAUGCCUGAGGGAUCCAAACCUUGCUGGUUUCUCUGUUCCCUGCCCACAGCCUUAUAAACUGUCUCUUGGUUAAAGUCUUCCCAAAUUACCCAGGUUGAGGGGCCAUAUGUUUCCCAGCUGCAGAAAGGUAGAGCUGGGAUCCGAAGCUC